AUAACAGUUGGAAACGACUGCUAAUACCGCAUAAGCGCACAGGGUCGCAUGGCCUGGUGUGAAAAACUCCGGUGGUAUGAGAUGGACCCGCGUCUGAUUAGCCAGUUGGUGGGGUAACGGCCUACCAAAGCGACGAUCAGUAGCCGACCUGAGAGGGUGACCGGCCACAUUGGGACUGAGACACGGCCCAAACUCCUACGGGAGGCAGCAGUGGGGAAUAUUGCACAAUGGGGGAAACCCUGAUGCAGCGACGCCGCGUGAGCGAAGAAGUAUUUCGGUAUGUAAAGCUCUAUCAGCAGGGAAGAAGAAAUGACGGUACCUGACUAAGAAGCACCGGCUAAAUACGUGCCAGCAGCCGCGGUAAUACGUAUGGUGCAAGCGUUAUCCGGAUUUACUGGGUGUAAAGGGAGCGCAGGCGGUACGGCAAGUCUGAUGUGAAAGCCCGGGGCUCAACCCCGGUACUGCAUUGGAAACUGUCGGACUAGAGUGUCGGAGGGGUAAGUGGAAUUCCUAGUGUAGCGGUGAAAUGCGUAGAUAUUAGGAGGAACACCAGUGGCGAAGGCGGCUUACUGGACGAUUACUGACGCUGAGGCUCGAAAGCGUGGGGAGCAAACAGGAUUAGAUACCCUGGUAGUCCACGCCGUAAAC
rnacentral:rRNA from 1 species